UUAAGCACUUUCAGAAUCCUCUUGGCAGGACCAUCUUGUGCUCUGGUUCCUGUUUCCUGGAUCCUAUUCUGGGCCAGGCCGCUGGCGACCGUCUUGGAGUGGAUGAACCUCACGAGUUGGGAAACGUCUGACCCCGGGUGAGCUGGGGUGCACGUCACCCGUGACCCUGGGGGCUCCCGGCACCCCCAUCUCGGUGAGGAAUGCGACGGAGGUCACACCGAAGAGAAUGCACACGUGAUACCUGCAAGGGUUCACUUCCCAUUCGAGGUGCUGCUUCAUUGCCUAGAAUGUGGGAUAGUUUGAGAGGGCUGAGGAAAUUCUGAUCGCCUUUGGAGCAGCUGAGAAUAUUGACAGGAAGCUUGUGUUUACAAUCCUGCUCUGUGGUUUCUCUUGGGUUCAGCCCACGUUCGGAACAUUGGUGGCAGUGUUUAGGGAGGAGAGUGAAUGGCUGGAUGGAGAGGAUGCAAAGAUGCUCAGAUGGUGAAGUAAACAGCUUUUACUCUGUGCCUUUGUGAUGGCUUGCUUUUUAUUGAAGUGUAGUUGAUUUACAAGAUUGUGUUAGUUUCAAGUGUA